rnacentral:rRNA from 1 species
GACGAAGGGGGCUAGCGUUGUUCGGAAUUACUGGGCGUAAAGCGCGUGUAGGCGGUUGUCCAAGUUGGAUGUGAAAGCCUUGAGCUUAACUCAAGAAAUGCAUUCAGGACUGGAUGACUAGAGGACCGGAGAGGAUAGUGGAAUUCCCAGUGUAGUGGUGAAAUACGUAGAGAUUGGGAAGAACACCAGUGGCGAAGGCGGCUAUCUGGACGGAACUGACGCUGAGACGCGAAAGCGUGGGGAGCGAACAGG